UUGACCUCAAAUCAGGUAGGACUACCCGCUGAACUUAAGCAUAUCAAUAAGCGGAGGAAAAGAAACUAACAAGGAUUCCCCUAGUAACUGCGAGUGAAGCGGGAAGAGCUCAAAUUUGAAAUCUGGCAGUCUGUUUUUUCUUCUUUGGCUGUCCGAGUUGUAAUCUAGAGAAGUGCUUACCUGUGCUGGACC
rnacentral:rRNA from 1 species